ensembl:lncRNA uncharacterized LOC110081127
AGAAAGUCCAGUUACAAAUUCUAGUAAGGAAGCCUGAGGAUGUGACUCUUGCUUAAUGUUCAAAUCAGAAACUUCAAUUUUUUUUAAAGUGCGAUGACUGCUCACUUGAUCUUGGUUGAAAGGAGAUGCCACGAUCCUGCAGUGCUCCUGCCACUAGCUGGUAGGAUCCCAUAUGAUAACCAUCAAUAAAGUAUCAUUGAUGCUCUGGCCCUGCCCUCCAUUCACAUCCCACCAGAAGCUGUACUCAAUUUUCAGCUGCACUCAGCUGUGCCUUUUUGAUUCCUCCUUGGCUUCCAGGAGGCAUAAAAGGUCCUUCGGGACUCCUUUCUUUCUUCAAGCAGUGAAACCUUGGUCACUGGGCUACCUUUUUAGUGGUGAUUCCCUCUGGUGGGGCAUUUCUUUCUUAGUUGUGUGGGGAGAAAGUUGGCAGCUUGCAGGUACCCAGCAGUGAAGCCUACAGGAGGUUUUAAAAUGCUCAAGAAAUGUUCCAAAGGCCUGGGCGAUCUUGAAGCAUACACAGAUGUGGAGGAAGGGGUGGCUUUCCAGAUGGACAACAAUUUAUUCUGGGACUCGCUGGGGAGUUGCUUCCAACUGGCCAUUGAGGGCAUGUGCGAAAAGACCUUUUCCUGCAAAUUCUGGGUCACCUCUUUGCCUUCAGGAAGAGUUUUGAUAAAAGACUGGCUGGGCAUGUACCUUGCUCCAGUAGAAGAAGGUACUGAUGUGAAAACCUACCCUGUCCAACCUGUUCAGUACACGGAAGAUAGAUCCCUGCAGUUUGACGUCUUUCACCGUGACAACCGAGUUGCUUUCCAGGCCUAUAAUCGUCGCUUCCUGGCCAGAGUCCAAAGGGGUGAAUUCCAGAUAUUGGAAGCAGCCAAGUUUUUAAUUGACAGCACCUGUUACUUCCGGCCCCAGAUUGGGGACAUCUGUCUCCCUACUUUUGAAAUAAAAAAUGUGGUUCCUAAGGAACUCUGGCGAGUGAAGUGCCGCCCUACUCUUGUGGACAGGAUGAGCUACACCAACCGGGGUGAGACACCAAUUCAACAAACCUUCAUUAUGGAUUGGAACAUCCAGUGCACCGACAAAGUUUUCUGGAAUCAUCUCUGGGGGCUGGGUUUGCCCUCGGUUUCCUCUCCUUUUGUUGUUGAGAAUGCCAAGCUCACUGUGAAGUACCUGGAGGACAACCAGCGCAUUGUUUCCGUGACGAGGAACAUUUCUGAGACCGUAUCGCACACCUUGAUGGUGCCCCCCAGGACGAAAGCCAUUGCCUACCUUUAUGCCCGCCAGCAAAGUAAUGCUUCUCUGCCAUUCACAGCCGUCAUCCGCAAGGUGACGCCUCGUGGAAAGGAGGUGAUCUUGCUAGAAAAUGGUGCCUGGACGGGGCUUGUCUAUCGUGACCUCUGGAUAUACUGUUCACUAAAAAGACUGGAUGAACUUUGUCCGGGGAUAGGAUUUCAUGGGAACUGGAGUUUUGCCAAGGAGAUUCAUGGACCUGACCGUGAAUUGCCCAGUUCUGAAGAAAAGUGAUUUCCUGGAUUCUCCACCAUCUUGGUCUGAUCCCUUUUGGGACUGUGUUGCUUUUAGGAGUAGUUCAGAAAAUGGCUUCCCCCAGAAGCUACUCUAGCAAUUUGUUUUUAAAUUCUCAGGUGCCUGAAAAAUAUAUAUAUGACGGCUACCUUUUUAUGUGGAAGAGGCAGAAGAAUUUGCACUUGGCAGCACUGCAGAGAAAGUAAAUAAAAUGGUGAAGCCGUUUUUAAAAAAAAUUAAU